rnacentral:rRNA from 1 species
GGGGNGGNUUNNNNUUAUGGCNUCCUGGUGGUCACGGGUAACGGGGAAUUAGGGUUCGAUUCCGGAGAGGGAGCCUGAGAAACGGCUACCACAUCCAAGGAAGGCAGCAGGCGCGCAAAUUACCCAAUCCCGACACGGGGAGGUAGUGACAAUAAAUAACAAUACGGGGCUCUUUCGGGUCUCGUAAUUGGAAUGAGUACAAUUUAAAUCCCUUAACGAGGAACAAUUGGAGGGCAAGUCUGGUGCCAGCAGCCGCGGUAAUUCCAGCUCCAAUAGCGUAUAUUAAAGUUGUUGCAGUUAAAAAGCUCGUAGUUGAAUUUCGGGAUUGACACAUCGGUCGUGCCUUAAGGGGUAUGAACUGGUGUAGUCAAUUUCUCACCUUCUGGAGAACCGCGAUGCCCUUAAUUGGGUGUCACGGGGAACCAGGACCUUUACUUUGAAAAAAUUAGAGUGUUUAAAGCAGGCAUUUUGCUUGAAUACAUUAGCAUGGAAUAAUAAAAUAGGACGGCAUGAUUCUAUUUUGUUGGUUUCUAGGAUCACCGUAAUGAUUAAUAGGGAUAGUUGGGGGCAUUAGUAUUCAAUUGUCAGAGGUGAAAUUCUUGGAUUUAUUGAAGACUAACUACUGCGAAAGCAUUUGCCAAGGAUGUUUUCAUUAAUCAAGAACGAAAGUUAGGGGAUCGAAGACGAUCAGAUACCGUCGUAGUCUUAACCAUAAACUAUGCCGACUAGGAAUCAGACGAUGUUAAUUUUUUAAGGACUCNUUGNAGNNUAUNNANANNNANNNNNNCCC